rnacentral:rRNA from 1 species
UACGUAGGGUGCGAGCGUUAAUCGGAAUUACUGGGCGUAAAGCGUGCGUAGGCGGUUCGUUAUGUCCGAUGUGAAAGCCCCGAGCUCAACUUGGGAAUGGCAUUGGAAACUGGCGGGCUGGAGUGUGGCAGAGGGGGGUGGAAUUCCACGUGUAGCAGUGAAAUGCGUAGAGAUGUGGAGGAACACCGAUGGCGAAGGCAGCGCCCUGGGCCAUCACUGACGCUCAGGCACGAAAGCGUGGGGAGCAAACAGG